CAAGAAUCUCUCCAGCAGUGUGACUAAUGAAGACAGGUCCUACAUCGGUACAAAUCUCAGUUGUAUGGUUGCUUCUCACAUUUGGAGACAAACUAGAACAUUGGCCAUCUCAAGAGCUUUUCUCCAAUGACUGAUGGAAGCAGAUGCAGAGAUCCACAGCCAAAUACCAGGCAGACCUCCAGGAGUCCACUCAAAGAAAGAGAAGAGGGAUUCUAUGAACAAGUGGAUCACAAUCAUGAUGGGGAAACUUGCAGAGACAACGAAAUCAAACUAAUGGGAACUCAUGAGAAUGAAGGCAUCCAGCUAAGGAAUCUGAAGACCCUUGGACAAAUGAGACAUCUGAAGAAAUGGGACAAAUCAUCCAGCAAAAAAAAAUGUCCCAAGAAAAAGAGUAAAUUGGCCUCUUAGCAUAUCACAUCUCCAACAUGACAAAAUUUCAUAAAUCUUCCCAAAUGUUUGUUUCUGCUGUUCUCUACAGACAUAUAAUGCAAAUGGUCUUUUUGUAGUCCCAGUCCAAUUAAAUAUUAAAGCUGGAUUUGAAGUUGGAA